rnacentral:sRNA from 1 species
UAGGUUUGAAAUGGGACAGCCGUCCGAAC